AGAAGUCACUAUAGGCGAAUGCUGGAGCUCCCAGGCUCUUGCUACAGGAGUAAAACUGUGAGUGCAGUUGUCUGUUUUCUUUCUCACUCUCUUUGUUAUUCUGUUCCCGCAGGUCUCUCCUUCUCCCUUCCUGUUACAGACAUACAGUUCUCUGUCAUACAGCCAGGAUCAUAACCGAACUGUGUCAUUGGAUGGUUAGUAUUCCGUGAUUCUUUCAGCUCUCUCCUGGACAGAUUUUUCUGCUCCACCAGUGACCCAAACAGCAGCUGACAUUUAACAAGCUAAGAACGCAGAAGGCUCAGAGCUCAGAAUGCUCCAGCCUCGCACUCUGGCCUGUGAACUUCAGCCGGCAUUGGGAGUCAGUGGAGUCUCAUGGAAAGAAAUUCAUCCCCCUGACUCUAAACAGCAUCUCCUAUACCUGCUACAGUAAGAUGACCUGGCUGGUGCACCCAGGGAUGUUACCCACAGCCCGAAGGGCUUUCCUUUCCAUAAUUAAAUCUGAGGAGAAGGGGGUGGGAGGGGUGUUUGGCAGAGAGAGGGAAUUGUCAGCAUGUCCUGCCAGUGAAAAGAAGGGACUGAAAUGAAAAAGUUCCUUCUGGCAUGCGUAAUCAAAAACUAAUCACUGCUGCAUAUAACUCGCUGUUGUUUCUGUGCAAGUGUGAGCCAGGGGAGUGCAGGCUGCUUGGCUAAAGGACAGAGCCCCCGCCCCCAACUGUCUCUCAGUGGGAGGGAAGUGUGUGGAGGGGAGGAUUAAUCCACUGUCGCUGUGGAUUAAUGCUGACAGGAGGGCUGGACUGCGACAAGAUAGAUGACAGGGUUACACGGCAAUGCGUGAGAACCCUGCCCCUUUCAAGCUAGCACUGUUUUCCUUGCGUGACUGCUUUCCUUCUCUCCUCCAGCCGCUUCCACCUUGUGACCGGCUCCCUUAACUCAUUCUCUUCCAUCCAUGGGGAGAGAGAGUGCACCGAGACUAGAGGAGGCAGGAGGGGAAAUCUGGCCCAGGGUUUAGAAGUGGAACAAGAUGCGGGAUGCCUGCUUUGUUCAGAGGGCAGCUUCUUUCACAAGAGUGGUUUGGUAUGUUAGCACCACUGUGAGCAUAUUAUAGAGCACUGGAAGGGAAAACAAACUCCCUGAUCCUACCUUCCAGCUGCACAGCGCU
ensembl:lncRNA